rnacentral:lncRNA from 1 species
AUCUGGAGAGCCAUUGUCUCCUCCCACCACCACCACCUUCCAGGACUUUGUUCUACAGACAACAGAAACUGACUGACCAGAUUCUUCUGCACCUUCACCUGUUGCUUUUAGAGAACCGGGAAUUCUCAACUUUGACAUUAUUGGUGUUUGGAGCCAGAAGAAGCUACAUAAUUUACAGAGCCUGGUGCAAAAUGAAAAUGUGAAGUCCUUUGUUCAAAAUGCAGGAUAAAUGAGACAUUAAAGGU